ACUUGACAGAUAGAAAGGGACACAGAAGGUCAGAUAAAAAACCGAGAAGCGCACUGAGAAGCUGCAAUAUUGGAGCAGAGUGGAAAACGGAUAAAUCUACAGAGAUAAGCUCAACAGGGCGGUAUCUCGGUCAUAACUUCACGAAUGUUGUCUUUCAAAUGUUCUAGAGUUUGCGGAGAGUUGUGAUAUAAAAGCGAACGCGACAGACACACAAAAGACUCGAAGACCGAAGGGCUCAGAGAGGAAAAAGUAAAACGAACUGUACUUGUUGAAAUCACACUUGGAAUGAAUUUUAUUAUUAACAACAGUUCGCGUCAUCGAAGGUCGUUCGAAGGAAGUUUCGCGUGAGUGAAAAUGUAAAUUGUUGAAAAAUAGUUUUUCUUAGCUGUUUCGAUGCUCCGAACCAAAAUUUAUUGUCAUUUAGUAGUGGAAAAAAGCCGUUGAAGUACACCCUCUGUCAAUCUACCUGCGAGAGAGAACGUGUGAAAUAUGGACGUCAAAAGCUGCGCAAAUUGCCCGGAGAACAUGCAAGUCGGACGAAAUUUGCUUGAGGCUGAUUCCGAACAAUCUGCAAAAUUCAAAAGCCGUAUUGUUUGUGUCGUCCCCGGAUGUAAGCAGAGAUAUCGCCCCGGAAUUUCUUUUCAUGCCUUCCCUCCGAAAACGGACAAAUCGCGGUAUCUAGACUGGAUCCAACGACUACGGCUAAAGAUAGAACCUACAAAAACCUCCCGUAUUUGUAGCCUCCAUUUCACCGUGUCGAACUUCUACUCUCCAAGUAUUCACAUUCACAUUUUCGCACUUUUGAAAGAGUGAAACAGUCCAACUUGGUGCAAAAUGUGCGAUAAUAAAGAAAUAAAAUAAAACAUACAUAAGCAAAUGAUACAAAACA